rnacentral:rRNA from 1 species
UACGGAGGGGGCUAGCGUUGUUCGGAAUUACUGGGCGUAAAGCGCACGUAGGCGGCUUUGUAAGUUAGAGGUGAAAGCCCAGGGCUCAACCCUGGAAUUGCCUUUAAGACUGCAUCGCUUGAACAUCGGAGAGGUAAGUGGAAUUCCGAGUGUAGAGGUGAAAUUCGUAGAUAUUCGGAAGGACACCAGUGGCGAAGGCGACUUACUGGACGAUUGUUGACGCUGAGGUGCGAAAGCGUGGGGAGCAAACAGG